AUCCUGGCUCAGGAUGAACGCUGGCGGCGUGCCUAAUACAUGCAAGUCGAACGCACAGCGAAAGGUGCUUGCACCUUUCAAGUGAGUGGCGAACGGGUGAGUAACACGUGGAUAACCUACCUCAAGGUUGGGGAUAACAUUUGGAAACAGAUGCUAAUACCGAAUAAAACUUAGUAUCGCAUGAUACCAGGUUAAAAGGCGCUACGGCGUCACCUAGAGAUGGAUCCGCGGUGCAUUAGUUAGUUGGUGGGGUAAAGGCUUACCAAGACAAUGAUGCAUAGCCGAGUUGAGAGACUGAUCGGCCACAUUGGGACUGAGACACGGCCCAAACUCCUACGGGAGGCUGCAGUAGGGAAUCUUCCACAAUGGGCGAAAGCCUGAUGGAGCAACGCCGCGUGUGUGAUGAAGGCUUUCGGGUCGUAAAGCACUGUUGUAUGGGAAGAACAGCUAGAAUAGGGAAUGACUUUAGUUUGACGGUACCAUACCAGAAAGGGACGGCUAAAUACGUG
rnacentral:rRNA from 1 species